AGAAAAAGGAAAAGAACAAAUACAGUAAAGCAAAAUUGAUUCUUUGAAAUUAAGAAAACUAAAAGGAGAAGGGAAGAUCUGAAAUUUCAUAGGUUCAGCUGCAAGAAAAGAAUUAUAGCGAUUAUCGCAGCUCUGAGCCCAGAAGCCAUGGGGAGCCUUGCUUAUCUUCAAAAACCAGAGCAGGGUAAUUCCAAAAAAAAAAAAGAUUUUUUUGAAGAGUCUGUCAGACAGCCAUUAAACCAUCUCAGGCACCAUGAUUGUUAGCUGAGAACGAUCAUCUACUGCGCCCAUGAGCCCCAACGGGCACUGGUGCUGUUUAAUCACGCUCUAGUCUAAUGGCAAUGAUUCAUCCACCAGACUUGGUUUCCUGUCUCCUUAGAAAUCAAGGAUGCAAUGGUACGAGCCUAUAGAACAGAUCCUGUUCAAGUAAGGUCGUGCCCAUACUUCUCACCUCACUUGAUUAAGUAGUAUUCUCACCCUCACUGUGCUGUCGAUAUGGGAUAAAUUUGAAGUAAAGUUAACCGUGGAUGUUAUAAAUUUCUAUAUCUUAUUGAAGAUUUGAGGAAUUCCCAGUGAUGGGAAAGAGGAGAAGUCUGGCGUUAAAUGGGUUUUCUGGAUUGUAAAUGAAAUGCCGGAAAAAAUUCUCUAUGUAUUUGUUUGUGUGAAAAUGGAAGAGUUAGCUUUGAAUGUUGUUCUUCAUGCUUUAUUAAUUUGCAAUUUUGUUGAUGUUUUUUCAGCUAAAUGAUGAGAUGAAGAAAAUGGUUGAAUAGCAAAAAAGAAAAGAAGAAGAGAGACAGAAUUAAGCUCUCCUUGAAAGCAAGUGUAAGGUGUUGUGCGAAUAACUUUCACUUAGCAUGGUAUCUUGCUAAUUGAGUGGUGGUGGAAGAAGAAAUGGAAGGGUAAGAGAAGGUAUUGGAGUAGGAUGUAAACUAAGGUUAUAACUAUCACUAUAAACAUGGUAUCCUGCUUAUCGAGCGUCACAGUGUAUGUUUGCGUGAACUGUUAGAAUGUGCAAUGAGGGUCAAUUGUGAUUUUGAUCAAAGGCACAAGGAUAAAUUAUUUCAAUUGUUUCUCCAGACUUGCUGUUGUUUGUGAACUUGAUUUUUGAUGCUUCUUGUAUCUAUCUUGUUCUUUGUUGGCUUCUGAAUGUGAGCUUGAGUAUUACAAUGUUCAAAGUCAUUAUAGCGUCUCUCAUGCCUCACAAAAUUCAGCCUUUGUCAGCUCUUCUGUUGUAUGCUUCAAUCCUUGUUGGGAAAGAAGAGCAAGACACUUAUUUUGCUUGUAUACCUGUAGAGCGGAAAAAUAAUUUUUCCUUUCAAUCUUCAAUGGUCUAAUCUACAGCUUUUAUGUUCAGCCUUGUUUAUACAUCCUCUGUCCAUGUUAAUGUGCAUGAAAACGAUAAAUAUCAUGUGGUUCGUAUGUAUAGAACUCUUUGUGUUGCAACUCACAUAGAACUAUGUUUAUGCCUCUUUAAAUGAACCUUACAAUUAUCAUCAACUGGUGCCGUUUUGCGCCACUUAUAUGUCAUAAUUACUCCGAGAACUUGCUUGAUCAAAAUUACUCGGAGAAGUUAGUUGCUCCGUUUUUUGCCAAAACCAUUCAGUAAGUUAAGCAGAGAGGUGGCUGCACUUCCAUGUGAAUUCCCAAUGUUGAAAAGGAUUAUAUGUGAGGCUCUCUUUUCAUGCAUAUUUUUCAUGUCUAAUCUAUUUAGACGUUGAAGCACAAUUUUAUAAUUAUAAGAAAAAUAUUCUUUCAUAUAAUUAUAAGAAAAAUAUUCUUUCAUUAUACAUAGGCUUUGUUAAUUUUCGUUUUCUAUUUCCAAACAGAAAAGGUUCCCAUUUUGAUUAUAAUCCUCCCACAUUGGCAUCUAAGAGAAAGGUGUAGUAUUAGUAAUGGACUGAGCUUUCGGAGAAACAUACUUACCUGGACGGGGUCAAUGGGUGAUCAAUAAGGCCCAUGGCCUAGGCUUGUGACCUCCAUUGCACUUUGGAGGGGUGCCUGCCUAAGGUCGGCCCAAGUGGUCGAGCCUACGUCAUAAUUUGUUGCUGUGGGGGCCUGC